UUUUUUCCAGACGGGUAGGUUUGAAUGUUUGCUGAAAGAUUGACAUAUAAUCCUACAAAUAAAUCACCCCAAAUCAAAAAACCCCACAUUCUCUUCCAAAUCCAGUUCAGAAUUUCAUCUCCAAUUUCCUCCUCCCUCACCGAAAUCCAUGUCUCUUACACCGUUGAUGUUUAGGACACUGCUGAGGCUGCUAACAUCCUUAAUCGGAGAUCCUGCUGCCUCAGUUUCGACUUUACUCUAUUACAGUGAGUUGCUUCCGCAGAACAUCAUCCUCCAAAGAUUGGUUCGACACGAACUGCUCGAUGGAGAAAAUUACCUGUUCCAUUUCCUCAUCAACUUUUUGCGAUGUUUUUGGUAGGUACUAACAAAUUAUCAUUCCAUAUUCUAAUCUAAGCUAAACUAUGAGGUGGAGAUUCAAACUUGGAUGCAAAUGGACGGACACUACCAUGCAAACUUUUUUUUUCUGCUUUUUUGUAAACCAUUAUUUAUUGGUGACUAACUGGCGAGCGUUCGAGUUGUAAUAUGUGAGUUCAGAUCAUAGAAUGAGAUAUGUUUCACAGUUCUUUGACCCGAUUGCAACUCCAUUUAAAUCCAAGGUUUGUUAUUCACGUGUGUAUAUAUAAGAUGUGUAAAUACCAUUUGAAGACGAUUAAUGUAUGGAAUACCAACACUUAGAAAUACUAA